AUGGUCUUCCUCUUGUAUCUUCAGCUGCCUGCCCCUCUCUUUAGCUCCUAUAAAUCUCCCAUUGCCUCACUCUCUUUGGAAUUCCCAUGUCCAUGUGAAUUCUCUGUUUAAAUACUAUUACAUUUGAUUUUCUCCUGUUAAUCGGUCUGCUUUCGAUUUGAUUCUAAGCCCAGCUAGAAGAAUCUUGAAGGGUAGAGGAAAUUCUUCCUUCCCUGACACAGCAUUGUCCUGGUCUCAGAAUAAACGCCGUUCUCAUGGGAGGUGCAAAAUCAAGAUGUCCAGCAGAUGGCGCAAAACCUCAACCCAGAAAGAAAACAUCCUUAAACCACUUCAAGAAUGCGGUCCUGGAGGGCACGUUUCUCAGUGACCAAAGACCAGUCAAGACCGGCUCCAGAAUUUUCAUGUCCAUUAAAUAUAAUUUGUUGGACUGCUUCUACACCCACAGGAUAGGAUAACCUGGUGUGGACAUAUUAUGUUUUCCUGAUCUAUUCACCUCUCGCUGAGUGUUUGGGUGGUUUCCAGUUUUUGGCUGAUGUGAUUAAUGCUGCCAUGAACAUUUACGUAACAAGUCUUGGUGUGGAUAUGGGUUUUAGUUCCUCUUGAGUAAACACCCAAAGAUGGAAUUGUUAGGUCCUACGUGUGAUCCCCUCUUCUUUCCGGAACUACUCCUCCCCUGAAUCCCAUGGCUAUGGGUUCCAAAUGGAGGCACACAACCCAGGCUGAGCCACUGGAGUAUUUCAUUCCACACCCCCAACCCCUACGGUGACUGGUGCAUGUGGACCCGAGGAGGACCAACUAGAGUCAUUCUGUGAGGCUGGAACUUGAAGCUGGGGCGUGGGGUGGCGGACAGGGACUCCUCUUCCUGCAAGUAAGAGGGCUAAGGGUGACAGAAACCUGGAGCUACGUUUACCUCCUGUGGAGAAAGGCCACCUAAGUAAGAAGAGAUUCAGGCCGGGAGGGAGCAGAGCCCAAAAAUGACAAUUAGGGGUGGCUGGCUGGUUCAGGCAGUAGAGUGUGUGACUCUUGAUCUCAGGUUUGUGAGUUCAAGCCCUACACUGGGUGGAGAGAUUACUUUAAAAGUAAAAUCUUCAAAAAAGAAAAAGAAAUAGCCAGGUCUCUUCUAGGGUCUAGAAUACAGGUCUGACUCAAUUGUGAUCUCCCUCCUCAGGGAGCUCCUUAGAAGUCUCAGGGAGCAGACCUAUUUAUACCCUAAUUAGAGUAUAAGGUGGUUAGUGCUAUGAUACAGGUACUCAUAAGAUAACUGAAGAGGGGUGGUUGGGUUUUGGACACUGGGGAUGAAAGACCCCCUCUCCCCUUGCUAAAGGCUUGUUUAAGUAACCUGAACCUGAUGUCCCCACAGCACCCCCUAUCCCCUUGCUGAAGGCUUGAUUGUCCCCAUAGCCGGAUGGCAACACAUACCAGGAUGUCUAUUGUCUGUGAUCACCCGGUCUGUCAAAAGAAAAGACAAAUGAGGAAUAGAGUGUACCUGGGACUUUCCAGAGUGCUGAGCCAAGGCCCGCCAGAACAAACGGCUGUGUCCUUGCCUUAAACCCAGUGCCUGACAAUGCUUGAUUUAAGUUAACCAAUCAGAUCCCUGUAACCAAGCAUCUGCUUCUGUAAGCUCACUUCCCGCCACCCCAACCCUGCCCUAUAUAAUCUGCUCCCCAACUUAGCCCAGCGCGCUCAGCCCACAAAGGCUGAUGCGUCCACAGGCGCCUGUGUAACCAAUAAACCUCUUGCAACUUGC